GCCUGGGUGGCUCAGUCGGUUGAGCGUCCGACUUCAGCUCAGGUCAUGAUCUCACGGUUCGUGAGUUCGAGCCCCGCGUCAGGCU
rfam:Felis catus isolate Cinnamon breed Abyssinian chromosome C2, whole genome shotgun sequence.